ACGGAAGCCCGGUGAGGCCAAGACCGAUCCGGAAGAGAAGGGUCGUUCUCCCGAUCCGGGCGCCUAGGCACGGCACCCGGCACCCACGCGGAGUCAUAGCCGCGAUAAUGGCAGAAGUGUUGCGGGCCUGCGUAAUUGCGAAAAGCGGAAGAUGUUGACGGCCCUUUGGGUGGGGUUGUAACCGGAUGCGUCGCAAGAUCGCCGAGGCCAACCCACGCAGCCCAGAAAUGCACGCUUGGUAACCGAGUUCCGUGCUAGCGGGCGGCGGACCGAAUAUUUCGGGACGCCGCCCGCUCUACAUU
rnacentral:ncRNA from 1 species